AGUCACUGACAUUAGAUACCCGCGUAGUCCAGGGUGUAAACGCUGCAGACUUGGUGUUGGAAAUCCUUCGAGGGUAUUCAGUGCCGGAGAGAAGUUGUUAAGUCUGCUACUUGGGGAGUACGUCCGCAAGGAUGAAAACUUAAAGGAAUUGGCGGGGGAGCACCGCAACGGGAGGAGCGUGCGGUUUAAUUGGAUUCAACACCGGAAAACUCACCAGGGGAGACUGUUACAUGAAACCCAGACUAAUGAUCUUGGUUGAUUUUCAG
rnacentral:rRNA from 1 species